ensembl:snRNA U6 U6 spliceosomal RNA
GUGCUCACUUCAGCACCACAUGUACUAAAACCCUGUCACCAUACAGACAGAAGAUUAGCAUGACCCUUGUGCAAGAUGACACACAAAUUUAUGAAGUGUUCCAUAUUUUU